CAUGUGCACGAUGUCAUGGCAUUUGUUACAAAUCCAGCUCACAUACUACUAGAAUUAUAAGAAAAGAUCUUAUAAUGUGGCAAAGUGUCAGAAUUCAAGUAAACUACGAUCAGUCAGAUUUACAGGACAUAAGCGUGGGUUCUGAUCUACAGAAAAAUAUAAAAGAUAAAUACAAAUGGGUAGCUACGGUAGGAUAGCUGGGAAUACACAUUUCUAAAAGAUGGCAAGACUUACAUAAUAAUUAUACUCUUCUGAUUAAGAAAAUCAAAACAGAUCUAGAAAACUGGUUGAAGUAUGACAUUUCAUGGUGAGGCAAAACUGUGGCAUUUAAAAUUAAUCUUACUCUUAAUUAACUUCCUUUUCCAAACACUUCUGGUUUUAGUCUUGGGAAGUCUUAAAUCAAUAGCAAUCCCUGAUAAACAAAUUCAGCUGGGGAAAUAAGAAACCCACAGUUAUGCAUCUACUUAACAAAGGCCAUGUAAAAAGGGAGUAUUCUCUUUACCAAACAUUAAGAUCUAUUACCAAGCCAGUCAGAUUAGAAACUUGAUGUAGUGGAUAACGCCAAACGUUAAAAAGCACUGGGAAUAGAUUCAGGCUUACUGUUGUGCAAUCAAACUCUAUGUCAUCUGGAUAAAGAGAGGAGAAAGUUACUCACCCUCUGCAGUAACUGAGGUUCUUUGAGAUAUGUGUCCCUGUGGGUGCUCCACUUCAGGUGUCGGUGCUUCCCGGGGCUGUUGAUCAGGGAUUUUCAGUAGCAGAGUCUGUCUGGGUCACAUGUGCGCAAUGGUCAUCUUGCGGUGCCGUUGGUGCCUCAGCUAGCACACACACGACCUGACCCCAUCAUUUCUUUCUCUUCUGCAGACUCCAUACUGCGAACUCCAAACUAGAGGGGAGAGGGAAGGAGUAGUGGAGCACCUACAGGGACACAUAUGUUGAAGAACCUCUGUUACUGCACAGGGGCUAACUCAUCAUGAUGGAGCCAUGGAUGAGCCACCCCUUCAAGUGAAGUUUUUCCAGAUUUGGGUGGAAAAUCUGACCGUCGUCCUGUGAGAGCAGGUCUGGCCUGAGUGGGAGAGUUCAUGGUUUGCAGGUCGCCAUGAGUAUCAAAGCUUCGUCUCAGGCCGAGGACAGUUGAGAAGGAACUGAGGUCAUCAGGUCACGUGCGCACUAGAUGAGGCACCAAUGGUGCCUCAAGAUGACCACUGUGUACAUGUGACCCAGACCAACCCUGCUACUGAAAAUCUCUGAUCAAUGGCACCGGGACGCACCGACACCUGAAAUGGAGCACCCACAGGAACAUCACUUGAAGAAGAACCUAGAUGUCAAAAUCAGUAUAUAACCACCCUUCCACGAAAGCAACAAUAGAAACUUGGGAUAAUUUGCUUAGAAAAGUUAAGCCUAUAUCCUUCACUUCUAAAGCCAAUACUAGAUACUAUAGAAUGUGACCCCAAUAAAUGCCUGGGAAUUUUUGACAUUUGGGAAUGUAUAGGUAUAUCAAAAUUUGGCCAGCUGUUUAGAGAGAAUACAUUUAGAUCAGUUGAUGAAAGACAAGAACUUGCAAAAGACACCAAAAUUCCAGUAUAACAAUAUCUAUGAUUCAGACAUUUUUCAGAAAAAGGGAAACCUAUGCAGAAAAUUGAUGGAAUCUGAAAAACUACUCAGUACAUCCAUGAAACUUUUCACUUUAUACAAAGUAAUUUCGAAUUUACUUAGAGGAAAUAAUUAAAUUGUGAAAAGUUGAUGUAGCCAUAGACACCAAAAUUAAGGAAUGGAAGAAUACAUGGGACAAUGAAGCCCACACCUCAGUAAAGACAUUAACACAAGAAAAUUGUUACAGUUCUUUAUCAUUGGUAUCUAAUCCCUUUAAAGUGAGUAUAUGGUACAGGGAUGGGCAAAGAAUGGAGAGAAUGUAUUUAAAUGGGAGGAUUUCUCCAUAAUUGGUGGAUAUGCCCAAAAAUUAAGACACUUUGCAAAGCCAUUGGAGAGUCCAUAAGGGAGAUAACUGUGUCAGCUAGUCAGAUAACUCCUUAGUAUUUUUAUUAAAUUGUCCUAGAAACUAAGCAUCUUAUAAAAAACUGAUUACUCAUUUCCUAGUUGGUGCUAGAAUUAUUAUACCAAGGUGGUGGAAGAGGAGUGACUUCCCUAAAACUAUAGACUGGUAUAAAAAUAUUUGAGAAAUUCUGGUCUUAAAAAAAAUAAUUCAAGUCAAGUUCUACAGUAGAGAAGGAAAAAAUGGUAACUACUGAGGCUAUGUCUUCACUAUGCAGACUAUAUCGGAAUAGCUACAUCUCCAUAGCUAUGCCGGCAUGGCCCUGUAGUGUAGAGGCAGCCUAUGCUGAAGAGAUUUUUCUUUAGGUGUAGGAACACCACCUCUCCUGAUGACUGUAGCUACAUCAACGGACACAUUCUUCCAUCGAUAUAGCUAUACCUAUGCUGGGGGCUAGGUUGGCACAACUAUGUUGGUCAGUGGUGUGUAUUUUCAUUUUUGUGUUUUUCCACACCUCUGAGCAGUGCAACUAUGUUGACCUAACUGUUAAGUGUAUACCAGGCCUUAGAAAUGUGGUGAAACUUUUUGGAGUUUGGUGGUAGAGGAUCAUCUGCCACGAAGCCUAUAGUUUGAGAACUUUUUCUGAAUACUAGGUUAGGGGGAAACCCCUUCAACAAUAGUCAAAAUUAAACUCAAAAUUAAGAUAUUAAAAUAAGGAAAAUAGGAAGAAAAAGGAGAAAAGCUUAAUCAUAGAAUUGUAGGACUGGAAGGGACCUUGAUAGGUCACCUUGUCCAGUCCCUUGCACUGAGGCAGGAUUAAGUAUUAUCUAGACCGUUCCUGACAGGUGUUUGUCUAACCUAUUCUUAAAAACCUCAAAUUGUUGGAGAUUGCAUAACUUCCCUAGCUAAUUUGUUUCAGUGUUUAACUACCUUUACAGGUAGGAAGCUUUACCUAAUAUCUAACCUAAAUCUCCCUUGCUGCAAUUUAUGCUAAUUACUUCUUGUCCUGUCCUCAGUGGUUAAGGAGAACAAUUUAUCACACUCCUCUUUAUAACCUUUUAUGUUCUUGAAGACUGUUUCCCUCACAGUCUUCUCUUCUCCAGACUAAACAAACCCAAUUUUUUCAAUCUUUCACCAUAAGUAUUGUUUUCUAGACCUUCAGUCAUUUUUGUUUCUCUCCUCUGAACUUUCUCUAAUUUGUCCACAUAUUUCCUGAAGUGCAGAGGUCAGAACUGGACACAGUACUCCUGUUGAGGCCUUAUCACUGCUGAGUAGAGUGGAAGAACUACUUCUCGUGUCUUGCUUACAACACUCCUGCUAAUGCAUCCCAGAAUGAUGUUUGGUUUUUUUGCAACAGUAUUAUAUUGUUGACUCAUAUUUAGUUUUUGAUCCACUAUAACCCCCAGAUCCUUCUCUGGAGUACUUCUUCCGACACAGUCAUUUACAUUUUGUAUUACUGCAAUUGAGUUUUCCUUCCUAAGUGUAGUACUGUGCGUUUGUCCUUAUUGAAUUUAAUCCUGUUCAUUUCAGACUAUUUAUCAAGAUCAUUUUGAAUUCUAAGCCUGCCCUCCAAAGCUCUUGCAAGGCCACCCAGCUUAGUAUAAUCUGCAAACUUUAUAAGUGUACUCUCUGUGCCAGUGGUUUUCAACCUGUGGUCCGCAGACUAUGUCUAAGAUUUCCAAAGGGGUCGACACCUCCAUUUGAAAUUUUUUAUGGGUCCUCAAAUGAAAAAAGGUUGAAAAGUACUGCUGUAUGCCAUUAUCCAAAUCAUUUAUGAAGAUACUGAAUAGAACCACAGCCAGGACAGAUCCCUGUGGGAAUCCACUCAAUAUGCCCUUCCAGCUUGACUGUGAACCGUUGAUAACUACUCUGAGUACAGUUUUCCAACCAGCUGUGCACCCACCUUAUAGUCAAUUCAUCUAGACCGUAUUUCUCUAGUUUGUUUGAAAAUGUCAUGUGAGACAGGAUCAAAAACCCUUCUAAAUUUGAGAUAUUAAUAUUGUGUAGUGUUCUUAUAGGACAACCAAUAAACAGGUUGUACACCUACAUGUACCAAAAACAGAAGUUUGGGCCUAAACAUGAGAUAAUGAAAGACUUUAACCAAUACUAUCAACUGACAAGACAAAAGAGGAAGAUGAAGAGUAGAAUAUCAUGAACCACAAUAUGUGAUCAAAACCAAAAAGUUGAAGAAAAUGACUGGUAGUAGGCCUUGUACACACAGCUUUAGGGACUUACAUAGGCCAGUUCAGAAUUAUAUACUUGUGUAUGUUUGUCUUUCAGUUGUAAAAAAUGUUUUAUAAGAUUUAUAUUAUAAAAGAAUGGAUCUAUUAAUUAAUAAAA